UGGCUCCGCACCUGCCUACUAUCACCCACUUUUCUCACCUCUGUUGCUGCUCUACAUACGCUUUCCUAUUCUCUUUCAUCAACAUCUCCAAUUUUCCGGUUCACACCAUAAUUUGGUUGGAAAAUGCAAAUAAGUGCUCUAAAAGAAUUUGUUAAGUUGUGAUUAAUGAGGUGGUUUUAUUGGACUUUUAUGAAAUCAAAUUCUUCGUUUUGUGAUGGUC
rnacentral:lncRNA from 1 species